UGGGGAAUAUUGCACAAUUGGCGCAAGCCUGAUGCAGCCAUGCCGCGUGUGUGAAGAAGGCCUUCGGGUUGUAAAGCACUUUCAGCGGGGAGGAAGGCGUUAAGGUUAAUAACCUUGGCGAUUGACGUUACCCGCAGAAGAAGCACCGGCUAACUCCGUGCCAGCAGCCGCGGUAAUACGGAGGGUGCAAGCGUUAAUCGGAAUUACUGGGCGUAAAGCGCACGCAGGCGGUCUGUCAAGUCGGAUGUGAAAUCCCCGGGCUCAACCUGGGAACUGCAUUCGAAACUGGCAGGCUAGAGGCUUGUAGAGGGGGGUAGAAUUCCAGGUGUAGCGAUGAAAUGCGUAGAGAUCUGGAGGAAUACCGGUGGCGAAGGCGGCCCCCUGGACAAAGACUGACGCUCAGGUGCGAAAGCGUGGGGAGCAAACAGG
rnacentral:rRNA from 1 species